GAUGAACGCUAGCGGCAGGCUUAAUACAUGCAAGUCGAACGGUAACAGGCCCGGCAACGGGUGCUGACGAGUGGCGCACGGGUGCGUAACACGUAUGCAACCUACCCUUAACCGGGACAUAACACUGAGAAAUUAGUGCUAAUAUCCCAUGGUAUUAUUGGAAGGCAUCUUUUAAUAAUUAAAGAUUUAUUGGUUAAGGAUGGGCAUGCGUCCCAUUAGUUAGUUGGAGUGGUAACGGCACACCAAGACGAUGAUGGGUAGGGGUCCUGAGAGGGUUAUCCCCCACACUGGUACUGAGACACGGACCAGACUCCUACGGGAGGCUG
rnacentral:rRNA from 1 species